CGGGCGGGGCUGAGCCCUCCCGCGCCUCGGCCCGGAUCAUGGCGGCGAUGGGGAUGGGCCCUGGAGCAACGGGACGGGGUCAGAAAUCUCAUGCAACUGCAUCGGUGCCCUUGCAAAUCACCAACCCUGAUGUGAUUUGAUAAAACCAGACCAUAAUGGUGAUGGGACAAAAGAAGUGCUGGUGUUUCAGGAAUAAGAGGACCCACCUCUAAGCAUGCCACAUUUCCUGUUCUGUAGGAAAAAAAACCACAAGAAAAAUACAACUGCAGGCUCUCAGGGUGGGAUACCAUGCAGCAAGCAGAAGAUCAUUACCACCAGCACAUCUUUUCUUAGCAUCAAACUGGGCUAAUCGACCUGUGUGGUAAAGAACAUGCUUCCACAGAAAUGAGUAUUUGUUCUGCUUUGCUUUGUUUUUAAUAAAAAUAAAAUAACAAUUUA